rnacentral:rRNA from 1 species
UACGGAGGGGGCUAGCGUUGUUCGGAAUUACUGGGCGUAAAGCGCACGUAGGCGGCUUUGUAAGUUAGAGGUGAAAGCCUGGAGCUCAACUCCAGAACUGCCUUUGAUACUGGCGAUCUUGAGACCGGGAGAGGUGAGUGGAACUGCUAGUGUAGAGGUGAAAUUCGUAGAUAUUAGCAAGAACACCAGUGGCGAAGGCGGCUCACUGGCCCGGUACUGACGCUGAGGUACGAAAGCGUGGGGAGCAAACAGG